rnacentral:lncRNA from 10 species
CAGCUGCCUUUAUCUGGGGAUGAUAUAAGUUACUGGAGACUUACAUAGAGCCAAAUCAUUGGGAGAGUGCAUCUAGUUUUGUAUAGUGUCAGUUGCCCACAUCAGCAUUUGAUCGAAUGAUCACAUUCCCCUUUGGUCUUAGUGGUAACAGUUGGGUCCUUCUUUAUACCCACCCCAACAGCUGACUGUCUGGGCCAUUUCUGUUCUGCUCUGUGAACAAAGGAAACAUUUUGUACCCCUGAGCCCUGUAGUGUCACAGAGAUCUCAAAGAGGAGACCAUCUGAGGACUGCCUACCUGCCCUGCACAGCCAUGUCUUCUGCUUGUACAUCGUGGGGAAGGAGAGAACCCUUGAGGUUGCCUGUUCACUCUGACUUUCUUCACAGAAUUGGAAAAAACUACUUUAAAGUUCAUAUGGAACCAAAAAAGGGCCCGCAUUGCCAAGACAAUCCUAAGCCAAAAGAAGAAAGCUGGAGGCAUCACGCUACCUGACUUCACACUAUACUACAAGGCAAUAGUAACCAAAACAGCAUGGUACUGGUACCAAAACAGAAAUAUAGACCAAUGGAACAGAACAGAGCCCUCAGAAAUAAUACCACACAUCUACAACCAUCUG